rnacentral:tRNA from 1 species
GAAGAUAUAGCUCAGUUGUUAAGAGCACUGAGAGGACCUGGGUUCAAGUCCCAGCAUCCACA